rnacentral:rRNA from 1 species
UACGGAGGGGGCGAGCGUUGUUCGGAAUCAUUGGGCGUAAAGGGCGCGUAGGCGGCCAACUAAGUCGGAUGUGAAAUCCCCAAGCUUAACUUGGGAACUGCAUCCGAUACUGGAUGGCUUGAAUCCGGGAGAGGGAUGCAGAAUUCCAGGUGUAGCGGUGAAAUGCGUAGAUAUCUGGAGGAAUACCGGUGGCGAAGGCGGCAUCCUGGACCGGCAUUGACGCUGAGGAGCGAAAGCUAGGGGAGCAAACGGGG